AUUCUAAGUGCAUACGAUUCAUGCCUUAAGGGAACAGACUUGAUAGUGCGCUUUUUUCCCAAUAACACUUGUGUUGCUUGUAUUUGAGUUUUAGCAACAUUUCUAGGCACCAGUGUCUCCCUAGUCUAACAACUGAAAAUCCCAAUCUGUAUUAGAUGAAGAAUAUGACAAUUUUAAUUUUUAUAACUUCACCUUAUCUUUCACCUCUUCUCUGGCCACUGGCCUAAGUGGUACUCGAUAUGCAAAUACAAAAUUACUUUUCCUUUUUUGAAUAAAUAGGUAAAAAUAUGUUUAUAUAUGUUUUUUUCAAACCUUUUUUCAAUUACUUUUCCUUUUAUCUGACAUGUGUCCUUCUCUUCUUGGUUAGGUAAAAUCCCAUACAUUCUUUGGAGUUCAGCACUACUUUUGUAAUACUACUUACUACCUGUUCUACUACUAACAACCACAACCACAAUUGCUUACAGAGAAAUUACUUUGUGCCAGGAAAUAUUUCACCAUCAAAAGAACACUCUGAGCAGACUGUCUCCUUUUCUGGUUUGAUGAAACAAGCAGCCAUGGUUCAUGUGGCAAGGGCCACAGCCCAACAUCCCUGGAGGAAAUCAAUUUCACAAACAACCACUGAGUUUGGAGGUAGAUCCUUCCCCCAUGGAAUCUAGACUGUGAGAGAACCUGAAGCAGAGGACCCAUUUCAGCCAGCCCGGAUUCCCAACCCACAGAAACUGAGGUAAUAAAUGUGUGUCACUUUAAGCCACUGAGUUUUAGAAUAAUUUGUUAUGCAGCAGUAGAUAACUAAUCCAGAUGGUGUCAAACAGAAAGUAGGUGGAUGGUAAGGGUAGGUGGUAUUUUAGAAAGAGUUCUGGGAGUGGGG
rnacentral:lncRNA from 1 species